AGGCUGUUGAGCUUGGGGGCGAGGCGCAGCGGUACUAGGACUUUAGCGAAGAUCUCGGCCAUGAGACGGAUCAAGCUUAUCAGGCGGUAGUCGUUAAGCUGGCAGGCAUCAGCGCGUUUGGGCAGCAGGGUGAGGAGGGCCUGGUUGAAAUUGCAGAAACUGCGGGCGCAUCUCAAACAACUGCUGGAAGAUAUCCACAAAAUCCUGCCUGACCGUAUGCCAGCAGGUGCGCAGGAAUCCGGCAGUGAACCUGUCCGGUCUGAGCGCCUUUCAUGCGGGCAGGCGCUUAAUUGUGUCCCAAAUCUCGUCCGUGCUGAAGGGGGUGUCAGGUCAGCCAGGUGUGGUCCUGCUCGACAGCGGUGCCAAGAAGCGCGUCAAAGUGCGGGAAUGCCGCUUCCGCCAUCUCCUCAUGCUCAGUGAGUACAUGUCCAUCCGCUCUGAGGCUGAACACACGAUUUUUCUGCCGGUGGAAGAAAGUGUUGUUAGCGUCGCCGUCCUUGAGGUUGGUGAUGCGAGCACAUUGCUUUGAUGUUUUCAGAUAGUGGAACCUCUAUCGAAAGGAAAAACAUCAUGCACAUCUUGUUAGGAAAGCAACUUAUCUGUAUUAAAGGCCCAAGGGGCAUAUAUAUAUUACACAUGACUUGAGGUGCAAGGAAAGUAAACAUAGACUAAUAAGGAUUCCUAGACUAAUAUUAAUAGACUAAUAAGGACUCCUAGACUAAUACCAAUACUUCCUAACACCCCCCUCAAAUGCAAAGCGUAUGCAAUAGCAUUGCAUUUGAAGAAGUGUAAUACUAUACUAAAAUUUUUUGAUAAUCCAAAUCCACGUCUCGAGAGUGUCGUCGUAACAUGUAGAGUCUUCAAAACUUGUCGAGUCGCCGAAGGAGAUAACGAAGAGAUGGCACAUCAGAGGUAGACACCGCAUCACUUGAAGAUACAAGAUAAGUAUCAAGAGAAGAUGGGUUGUCAAAAGAAGAUGGCACAUCAGAGGAAGACACCGAAGAGAUGGCACAUCAGAGGAAGACACCGCAUCAUUUGAAGAUACAACAUAAGUAUCAAGAGAAGAUGGGUUGUCAAAAGAAGAUGACACAUCAAGAGAACAAAGCAUUCUACAGAAAAUCAUAGUCCACGACAACCGACGGCAAAAGAAGCUCGGCGGUUNGUAGCCGCUGCAAGGUUUCGAGGUCAUGGGCAUGUUGCACAAGCUGUCCGAGGGUGUCGACGGCGAGAAUGAAGAGCUGCGGGGACAAGGGGUUGCUUUGGUGAAGCCCACGACGGUGCCAAAUUGGCGGGCCAGACUCUUCGUUUAGCAGGGCUGCGGCGUUGGCCGGAGGAUCGGCGCCGAAACCAUAUUGGCGCAAAACCUCAAACAAGAAUGGCCAAUAUAUGGAGUUGAAGGCGUGUCCUAGAUCGACCUUGAGCAUAAUCCCCGGGCCCCAAGUUGGUGGAGCAGCUUAAGUGAUUGCUUGACGAGGACGAAGUUGUCGUGGAGGCUUCGCCCUGUGAUGAACACGUUCUGGUUACGGUUGACAAGGCUGUUGAGCUUGGGGGCGAGGCGCAGCGGUACUAGGACUUUAGCGAAGAUCUCGGCCAUGAGACGGAUCAAGCUUAUCAGGCGGUAGUCGUUAAGCUGGCAGGCAUCAGCGCGUUUGGGCAGCAGGGUGAGGAGGGCCUGGUUGAAAUUGCAGAAACUGCGGGCGCAUCUCAAACAACUGCUGGAAGAUAUCCACAAAAUCCUGCCUGACCGUAUGCCAGCAGGUGCGCAGGAAUCCGGCAGUGAACCUGUCCGGUCUGAGCGCCUUUCAUGCGGGCAGGCGCUUAAUUGUGUCCCAAAUCUCGUCCGUGCUGAAGGGGGUGUCAGGUCAGCCAGGUGUGGUCCUGCUCGACAGCGGUGCCAAGAAGCGCGUCAAAGUGCGGGAAUGCCGCUUCCGCCAUCUCCUCAUGCUCAGUGAGUACAUGUCCAUCCGCUCUGAGGCUGAACACACGAUUUUUCUGCCGGUGGAAGAAAGUGUUGUUAGCGUCGCCGUCCUUGAGGUUGGUGAUGCGAGCACAUUGCUUUGAUGUUUUCAGAUAGUGGAACCUCUAUCGAAAGGAAAAACAUCA
rnacentral:lncRNA from 1 species